rnacentral:lncRNA from 1 species
AUGCGCAGGGUGGGAGGGGGCGGCGGGGGGGGGGAGCGCCGCGCCUCGUGCCGCCGGCCCGCAGGGCGCCUGCGCGCAGCGUCACGUGACGGGGCUGCGGCGGGAAAAAACGGGAGGAGAAGGCGGCGGCGCCAUCUUGGAGACGGGCAGGGGGAAUGGGGGGCGGCCCUCCCGCCGCCCUGCGCCUCAGGAGGGGGGCGACGUGAGGAGGACGCCCUCAGGGAGAGCCGAGCCCCCGAGCGAUGCCCGAGGCACCCCCCCGGGGGGGAUUCUGAAGAAAUGGGGUGAAAAAUGAACCAAAAGGGGGCGAAAAUCAGCCAAAAGUAAGGGGUUGGGGUCCCCUGGGGCUCAGGGUGGGGUCCCUGUGGGUCUGGGGUCUCCUGGGACUUGGGGCCAGGGUCUUGGGGGUCCCAGGUCCCUGUGGGCCCUGCUCCCUUUGGGUCUGGGGUCCCGUGGGACUCAGAGCUGGGGUCCUGAGGGUCCAGGGUCCCCGUGGGUCUGGGGUCCCAGUGGGUGCUUGGGUGUUUGGGGCCCCCCCCUUUGGGGCUGGGGUCCCCUGGGGCUCAGGGCCGGGGUCCCGGGGGUCCCAGGUCCCGGUGGGGUCGGGGCAGGGUCCCCGUGGGUCUGGGGUCCCGGGGGCCCCGUCCCGCGCUCCCCGUCCCCGCGGGGUCCCCUCGGCCCCGCCCCCUCGGCUNNNNNNNNNNGGUAAAUUCUUCUCCCAGCUCCACAAAACAUCACAUAACCCCUCCCAAGAACAUAAUUCAGAACUUCGGGGCUUUUCCUGAGGUAAACUUUGCCCCCAGCCCCACAAAACGCCGUUUGCCCCCCUCCCGAGGCAAUAAAAAGCGAUUUUGGGGCUGUCCCUGAGGUAAAAAUACCCCCUAACCCCACAAAACACCGCGUGCCCCCCUCCCACAGCCCUAAUUCGGACCGGGGGGCCUCUCCCUGAGGUAACCUCGCCCCCCCCAGCCCCUAAUUAGUUAAUUGGGGCCUCCCCGUGAGCCCUCCCCCGCCCCCCCCCGUCGCCGCGCGCCCCCUGCCCGUUCCCGCCCGCGGCGCUGCGCAUGCGCAGGGUGGGAGGGGGCGGCGGGGGGGGGGAGCGCCGCGCCUCGUGCCGCCGGCCCGCAGGGCGCCUGCGCGCAGCGUCACGUGACGGGGCUGCGGCGGGAAAAAACGGGAGGAGAAGGCGGCGGCGCCAUCUUGGAGACGGGCAGGGGGAAUGGGGGGCGGCCCUCCCGCCGCCCUGCGCCUCGGGAGGGGGGCGACGUGAGGUAAAACUUUAAGGAAAGAGCCCCCCCGGUGGGAUAAAGCCAUAAAAAAGGGUCUCCCGUUUGAAAUAAGGGGUUAAGGGAGGCCCCCCCCUUGAAGUAAAGGGGUAAGGGCUGCCCUGUGAGGUAAAGGUUUAAGGAAGGGCCCCCCCCCUUUGAGGUAAGAGCUUCAGGGACCCCCCCUGAGGUAAAAAAUUAAGGAAUUCUCUCCCCCCUUGAGGUAAAGGGUUAAAGAAGGGCCCCCCCGUUGAGGUAAAGCGCUAAGGGCUCCAUUAUGAGGUAAAAGUUUAAGGAAUGACGCCCCCCUUUGAGGUAAAGGGCUGAAGGCCCCCCCCUUGAGGUAAAGGAUUACAGAAGGGCCCCCCUUUGAGGUAAAAAUUUAUGGGAUCCCCCUUUGAGGUUAAGGGUUAAGGCCCCCCCAUGGGGUAAAGCCAUAAAAAAGGCCCCGGGAUCCCCCUUUGAGGUUAAGGGUUAAGGCCCCCCCAUGGGGUAAAGCCAUAAAAAAGGCCCCCUGCCCUUGAAAUAAAGGGUUAAGCCCCCCCCGUGAGGUAAAAUCUUAAAGAAAGGUCCCCCCCGUGAAGUAAAACUUUAAAAAAAGGGCCCCCC